UACAGAGGUCUCAAGCGUUGUUCGGAUUCAUUGGGCGUAAAGGGUGCGUAGGUGGCGAGGCAAGUCAGAUGUGAAAUCCCCAGGCUCAACCUGGGAACUGCAUCCGAUACUGGAUGGCUUGAAUUCGGGAGAGGGAUGCAGAAUUCCAGGUGUAGCGGUGAAAUGCGUAGAUAUCUGGAGGAAUACCGGUGGCGAAGGCGGCAUCCUGGACCGACAUUGACGCUGAGGAGCGAAAGCCAGGGGAGCAAACGGG
rnacentral:rRNA from 1 species